UUCAAUGUGAUAUAGUGGUUUGUGUAUUGGACUAUGAGUUUGGAGAACAGGGUUCAAAUCCCUGCUUUGCCA